rnacentral:rRNA from 1 species
UGGGGAAUAUUGGACAAUGGGCGCAAGCCUGAUCCAGCCAUGCCGCGUGAGUGAUGAAGGCCUUAGGGUUGUAAAGCUCUUUCGCCGGUGAAGAUAAUGACGGUAACCGGAGAAGAAGCCCCGGCUAACUUCGUGCCAGCAGCCGCGGUAAUACGAAGGGGGCUAGCGUUGCUCGGAAUCACUGGGCGUAAAGCGCACGUAGGCGGAUCGUUAAGUCAGGGGUGAAAUCCUGGAGCUCAACUCCAGAACUGCCCUUGAUACUGGCAAUCUCGAGUUCGAGAGAGGUUGGUGGAAACUCCGAGUGUAGAGGUGAAAUUCGUAGAUAUUCGGAAGAACACCAGUGGCGAAGGCGGCCAACUGGCUCGAUACUGACGCUGAGGUGCGAAAGCGUGGGGAGCAAAACAGGAUUAGAUACCCUGGUAGUCCACGCCGUAAACGAUGGAUGCUAGCCGUUGGGGGGUUUACCUCUCAGUGGCGCAGCUAACGCCUUAAGCAUCCCGCCUGGGGAGUACGGUCGCAAGAUUAAAACUCAAAUGAAUUGACGGGGUCAUAGCUGUUUCCU